GAUGAAGAACGUAGUGAAAUGCGAUACGUAAUGUGAAUUGCAGAAUUCAGUGAAUCAUCGAGUCUUUGAACGCACAUUGCGCCCCCUGGUAUUCCGGGGGGCAUGCCUGUCCGAGCGUCAUUGCUGCCCUCAAGCACGGCUUGUGUGUUGGGCCUCCGUCCUCCUCCCGGGGGACGGGCCCGAAAGGCAGCGGCGGCACCGCGUCCGGUCCUCGAGCGUAUGGGGCUUCGUCACCCGCUCUUGUGGGCCCGGCCGGCGCUUGCCGACACAUCAAUCUUUUUUCCAGGUUGACCUCGGAUCAGGUAGGGAUACCCGCUGAACUUAAGCAUAUCAAUAAGCGGAGGA
rnacentral:misc_RNA from 1 species